rnacentral:rRNA from 1 species
GAGUUUGAUCAUGGCUCAGAUUGAACGCUGGCGGCAGGCCUAACACAUGCAAGUCGAACGGUAACAGGAAGCAGCUUGCUGCUUCGCUGACGAGUGGCGGACGGGUGAGUAAUGUCUGGGAAGCUGCCUGAUGGAGGGGGAUAACUACUGGAAACGGUAGCUAAUACCGCAUAAUGUCGCAAGACCAAAGAGGGGGACCUUCGGGCCUCUUGCCAUCGGAUGUGCCCAGAUGGGAUUAGCUUGUUGGUGGGGUAACGGCUCACCAAGGCGACGAUCCCUAGCUGGUCUGAGAGGAUGACCAGCCACACUGGAACUGAGACACGGUCCAGACUCCUACGGGAGGCAGCAGUGGGGAAUAUUGCACAAUGGGCGCAAGCCUGAUGCAGCCAUGCCGCGUGUAUGAAGAAGGCCUUCGGGUUGUAAAGUACUUUCAGCGGGGAGGAAGGGAGUAAAGUUAAUACCUUUGCUCAUUGACGUUACCCGCAGAAGAAGCACCGGCUAACUCCGUGCCAGCAGCCGCGGUAAUACGGAGGGUGCAAGCGUUAAUCGGAAUUACUGGGCGUAAAGCGCACGCAGGCGGUUUGUUAAGUCAGAUGUGAAAUCCCCGGGCUCAACCUGGGAACUGCAUCUGAUACUGGCAAGCUUGAGUCUCGUAGAGGGGGGUAGAAUUCCAGGUGUAGCGGUGAAAAUGCGUAGAGAUCUGGAGGAAUACCGGUGGCGAAGGCGGCCCCCUGGACGAAGACUGACGCUCAGGUGCGAAAGCGUGGGGAGCAAACAGGAUUAGAUACCCUGGUAGUCCACGCCGUAAACGAUGUCGACUUGGAGGUUGUGCCCUUGAGGCGUGGCUUCCGGAGCUAACGCGUUAAGUCGACCGCCUGGGGAGUACGGCCGCAAGGUUAAAACUCAAAUGAAUUGACGGGGGCCCGCACAAGCGGUGGAGCAUGUGGUUUAAUUCGAUGCAACGCGAAGAACCUUACCUGGUCUUGACAUCCACGGAAGUUUUCAGAGAUGAGAAUGUGCCUUCGGGAACCGUGAGACAGGUGCUGCAUGGCUGUCGUCAGCUCGUGUUGUGAAAUGUUGGGUUAAGUCCCGCAACGAGCGCAACCCUUAUCCUUUGUUGCCAGCGGUCCGGCCGGGAACUCAAAGGAGACUGCCAGUGAUAAACUGGAGGAAGGUGGGGAUGACGUCAAGUCAUCAUGGCCCUUACGACCAGGGCUACACACGUGCUACAAUGGCGCAUACAAAGAGAAGCGACCUCGCGAGAGCAAGCGGACCUCAUAAAGUGCGUCGUAGUCCGGAUUGGAGUCUGCAACUCGACUCCAUGAAGUCGGAAUCGCUAGUAAUCGUGGAUCAGAAUGCCACGGUGAAUACGUUCCCGGGCCUUGUACACACCGCCCGUCACACCAUGGGAGUGGGUUGCAAAAGAAGUAGGUAGCUUAACCUUCGGGAGGGCGCUUACCACUUUGUGAUUCAUGACUGGGGUGAAGUCGUAACAAGGUA